rnacentral:miRNA from 1 species
UAAGUACUAGCGCCGUAGGAGU